rnacentral:rRNA from 1 species
UACGUAGGGUGCGAGCGUUGUCCGGAAUUAUUGGGCGUAAAGAGCUUGUAGGCGGUCUGUCGCGUCUGCUGUGAAAAUCCGGGGCUCAACCCCGGACUUGCAGUGGGUACGGGCAGACUAGAGUGUGGUAGGGGAGACUGGAAUUCCUGGUGUAGCGGUGAAAUGCGCAGAUAUCAGGAGGAACACCGAUGGCGAAGGCAGGUC